rnacentral:lncRNA from 1 species
UGGGAUUUCUGCACCUCAUGUUGAUAAACUUUUGCAUAUUUGCACUGCUGCGAAUCUUUGUGCAAAAUGGUCUAGCUUACAGCAUGUGUUUAAAUUCAAGAUUGAUUCAUGUCCACUUCAUUAAUUGUUGGAACUAAAUCUGACUCUGUGUUUUUACUCUUUGUUUUAUGCCACGCUUUUGCAAAUCUUCGGCGCGGGCUGUCCAUGGACCCACAUGUUUGGAGUCGAUGUU